rnacentral:tRNA from 1 species
AAUCUUAUAUUUUAUAAUAAAAUAUUAAAUUGCAAAUUUAAAGAAGAAAGUUUCUAAGAUUU